CCCCACACACACGGCCCCGCCCCUCAGCACGAGACGAUCCCCUCACGCUGCAACAUCUUCACGAGCGAAGCGGGCGAUGGCGGUUGGUGAAAAGCGCGGGAAAUAAACAGAAAUAAACAACAACAAAGGACGAGCAGACGGAAGCCGCUGUUUUGUUUGUUGUUGUUGUUGUCGUCGAUCAUCUUCUCCUCACUCAACUCGCCGAGCUUUUGACACCAGCGCGAAGCGAUCAAGGUCGCCUUCCACCGGUGUCCCCUCCCCUCUGUGGGCACCCUCCCCCCUACACCAUCAUCACCACCAUCACCACCAUCACCAUCAUCACCACCACCACCACCACCCCCCCCUGCCACACUGUGACACCCAUCGGCUGCCGUCGGAGAAGCUGGACUUGGAAAACAGACAGCGGGAGCAGCAGCAGGAGCGACGAGCGAGGGGCGAGGGGGCAAGACUCCGAGCCCCGACGAUGCCUCAGCCCGGCGUGAGCUCCCUGGACCCUGCGUUUGUCACGGCGUUUGGCAGCUGCCCCUCGGACUGUGCAGCCACCGACCAGACGCUCGCCGGCUCGGAGCUCACGGGCCCUGGGGCCACCUACUUCCUCUACGAACAGGCACACUGCACACUGCACUAUACACUAUACACUACAUUAUAUACUACACUACAUACUGUACA